AUGGCUACGUGUGGGCUGCCUCCGUUGUCGUCAUCCGGAUCCGUGAACUUGACGAUCGACCCCUCCCCUUCCUCCUCCGCCCAUGUGGCUGCUCCGCCGGCGCCAGAGAUGGUAGUUCUGCUUAUGCGGCGGCGACGAAGAAGGUGUCCUCGAAGGAGGGGACCGUCGACAACGAGUUCCUCGGCCGCAAGAGCUCCAAAAUGUGUCGCAUCUUCCACAAGGAGAUGCCCUUCGAAGAGGACUGCAGCAACAACGAGGCGGGGAACGGCGACGAGGAGACCAGCGCAGCAAGGGUGGCUGCUCUUCCUCUACCGUGGCCAUGAACACGACUACAACACAACCACUGAGCUUUGGUUCAAUAGGUAUGACUUGGGGGUCGUUGAUGCUUGUUGGUUGAUUCGUUGUGGUAGAUUUUGA
rnacentral:rRNA from 1 species